rnacentral:tRNA from 1 species
GGAUGGAUGUCCGAGAGGCCGAAGGAGCACGAUUGGAAAUCGUGUAGGCGGGGACAACUCGUCUCGUGGGUUCAAAUCCCACUCCAUCCG